rnacentral:rRNA from 1 species
CUAUUAUGGAGAGUUUGAUCCUGGCUCAGGACGAACGCUGGCGGCAUGCCUAAUACAUGCAAGUCGAGCGAAUGAUGAAGAAGCUUGCUUCUU